UGAGCAGCAUGGAGCAAACAGGGCGUCCCCUUCUCAGUGACAGAGGGACUUGGGCUGACCAACCGUCUUGGCUUCCCUGGGACUGUCCCAGCUCAGCACUGAAAAUCUCAUGCCGAUGAAAACCCCCGCAGGCCUGGGCAGAUGGGAACCUUGGUCACUCUUGCAGAAACUUGAGUCAGAAAUAAAGCAACUUCUCCCAGGCCAUGUGGAAAAGCCAUGUGUGAACCAGAGGAACAAGUACAACAGAGCCGCUGAGUACACCCCAACACAGAGGAGCCAGCGCUCACCGAGAGAUUUGCCAAGUGGAGUCCUUUUGAGACAUCCAAAUUUCACUGUCUUCAACUUAUUAAUGUGAAACAAAGAAUAACGUAUAUGUGUGUGUAAACACGAAUAGUAACAGCUUAUAUUUGUAAACAAUGUGCCGUGCGCCCAGCACUACAUUAAGCAGUCUCCAUGCAGCACCUCCAUUAAUCCUGGGGAGCACUGUACCCACUUCAAGAGGCCUUUAGAAGAGCAAGUAACAAAAACUGGUGGAAAAAAAGCACACAUUCAACAGGAAGCAACAUCUAGAGACCUUUCUGCCUUCCAGGAUACAAAAAGAAAACAGUUCAUAAACAACUUACAUCUAAACCAGUAAUGUUGUCUCCCUGGCUCAUAGGAGCUGAAGAAGAAUUCCAGUUACUGUAGUAAGAAUAUAAGGAUGUGGACUGGUUUGAGGAUGCUUGAGGCAUGACUAUAGCAAGUACUGCGCAUACAUAUGUGGACAUCGUAAGACACACUCUCUGCUUCCCCAGGCGAAAUCUGUAAUGCUUUGUUUAUUCAUGUUCUAUUCUGCGUUUCCAUGGCACUUUGUUCUUUGUGGUUUUUAGGGUAUCUUUCUCCCUCUCUGCUCAGUGAACUGAGCUGCCUGGACAGGCCUUGAGUUUUCUUAUUCGAUUGUUUUUUGUGUGUGUAUGUUUUGCCUUAGCUCCCUCACUAGUAUAGUCAAGGAGCUUUUCAUGCUUUGAGCCAUUUGUGGCAUUUCAGGAAUUACCUUCAUAGCUUUUGUCCAUUUUCUACUGGCUUGUCUUUUUCAAUGUUUUUAUAGGCAUUUUUUAAAAAACACAGUGUGGAUGUCAUUUGGGAUAGCAGUACUAAUAGUAGCUAAAACUUACUGAAAGCUACUGUGUGCCAGGCAGUCUGCUGAGCACUUUACAUGCUGCCUUUCAUUUUUACACUCAUUUAGGAAACUGAGUCACAGAGAGGCGAGAUAACUUGCCAGAGAUUCAAGCACACUCCAGACACAUCCCUACACCAAUCAGACCUCCUAGCCACCCAGAAACUCUCCUCUGCUCGGAGGCUUCUCUGCUUCCUCCACCUGCCCCUUCGCCUCACUGCCUCCUUUCAAAAUCUGCGGCAUGUAUUUUAGGGAUACUCGUAUCCAUUUUCAGGAAUUCCAUGAUCUACACACAGAUGACACCAAAAUCGGAACAGCAAUGUCCACCCUUCUCCCGAGCCCUAGGUCGGUGCCUCUGUCCACCUGUGUCUCCUGAAACUUCAACACAGACUUCAAAUGGAGUGGCAGAAAACCAGAUUCCUUAGGGAAAGGAAGGUCUCCCAGACGGCAGGAGCGGCAGGCCUUAGGGGCAGCCGCAGGGGCUCGGGAGUCUGAACAUACCCGGUUUGAAUUCAGACUCUGGCACGCCCCAUGCGAUCAUAACAUAGUGCUGCACGUCUCAAGCCACCUAUAAAAACGGGGACAAUAACAAUAUCUGCCUCGGGGUUAAUGGUGAGGACUGACUGUGUGUGUCUCGCUCAGGACCAGGAGCAACAAAUGUUGGCUUCUUCCCCGGCAAAGACCCGCGCUUUCUCCUGGGCUCCGGGUUCCCGGGGUGGGGGUGGGCGCAGUCCCGAGGGCCCCAGGCAGUGGCGCAGUGGUUAGACCCCAGCCUCUGGAGUCGGCCUCGGUUCAGAUUCUGGUUCUACCCUUCUCCUCUGUGGCGAACCAACCCUCCGAGCUCUAGUUUACUCGUGUGAAAUGGACUAGCCAAAAUUGGGAUUUUUUUUUUUUUUUAGGAUUAGAUGUGUCGGUCCAUAGACGUUGCUGGCCACAUAGUUAAGUGGUGCGUUCACUCACUGGGCAUUGAUGGAGCGCCUACUACGUGCCAGGCCUGUUUUACGCGCCGGGGGCCCAGAGGCGCCCAGGUCAGACAAAGUGUAAACGAUUCCGACCAGAGCCCUUCAAUCUGCAUUCCGCUUCGCAGGAAACUCUCCUCCUUUUAUGAUUUUCAGCCGGACUGCCUUCCCUGUUGUUAGUUUGUAACUUUCGCUCCGGCCCCCGCAGCCUCGCGCCUGCCUUCCCUCCACUGUCCUCAGCCAAGGUGUAGUAAAGCGUCUCCGAACGCGGCGCGACCCUCGCCCACGCCCGCUCGCGGGGGGACCGCACCGCCCCAGGGGUCCUCGCUAGGGGUUCCCGGAGAAGGGGUGGGAGAUGGGGGUGCGGGGGGGCACAGGAGCGCGGGCCAGCACCCAGACCUGCUCGGUACCGGGGACCCAGACCCGAGGAUGCCGGGCGGCCAAGGCCCCGCUACCCUGGCCGGCUCCGGGCGGAGGAAGAAGAGGAGGCGCCCAGACUGGAUACCCGCCUGGACCCGGAGCCGCGGCACCACCCCCAGCCCGCCC
rnacentral:lncRNA from 10 species